UUUCUGGUCCCUCUACUUCAAACCAAGGAGGUACUACAGUGCCAAAUCAAAAUAAUGGUAGUGGCAUGCCUAACUUGGGGGGUAAUUCAAACGUGAGAGAUAAUGUCCUAAACAAUGGACAGAAUAUUCCACGUGGUAAUGAGGGAACAGAUGUCCAGGCUAACGGUAAUGGACCUAAUUAUGGUAAUUUUGUUGCCAAUCAAGGACCAAACAUCAGACCUCAUGCAAAUCAA
rnacentral:lncRNA from 1 species